rnacentral:ncRNA from 1 species
AUGAUCAAUAUUAGAGAGAAUGGUUUACACCAUCGCCGAAGGAGCAAGUAAUCAAGGAUUAUGAAUCUCUCAGGCAAAAGGAUAAUAUUGUGACG